AUGGCCUUCUUCUCCCACCACCACCUCCAGCAGCCCCACCCCGCGGCGCCGCCACCGCAGCAGCAGCAGCAGCAGCCGGCGCCUCUCUCCUUCAGGAACGCGCUGCCGGUGCCGGUCGAUGGACAGAUCCCGGCGCCUCUCGCCUUCUUCAACGCGCCGCCCGCUUUCCCGGACCAGGCCGGGCAGCCACAGAUAGUGGACGCGGCGGGGCUGACGGCUGCGGCGGGUAUGGGGUGGAGGCAGCCGAGGGAGCAGGAGCUGCUGGGGGAGAACUCGCAGAUGUCGUCUAUCGAUUUCCUGCAGACGGGCUCGGCGGUGUCGACGGGCCUGGCUCUCUCUCUGGAGGACCGGCGCCAUGGCGGCGGCGGCGCUGGCGCAGGGAACUCCUCGGGCGAUUCGCCGCUGCUCCUGCUGCCGAUGCUGGACGACGACAUCUCCCGUGAGGUCCAGCGCCUAGAUGCUGAUAUGGACCGAUUCAUCAGGGCCCAGAGUGAGCGCAUGAGGCAGUCUAUAUUGGAGAAAGUUCAGGCAAAGCAGUUUGAAGCGCUGGCCUCUGUUGAAGACAAGAUCCUCCGAAAAAUACGCGAUAAAGAGUCAGAAGUGCAGAACAUCAACAAAAGGAACCUGGAACUCGAGGACCAGAUUAAACAAAUGGCAGGGGAAGUUGGUGCGUGGCAGCAACGAGCUAAGUACAACGAGAGCAUGAUCAGCGCACUCAAGUACAACCUGGAGCAGGUAUGUGCCCAUCAGAGCAAGGACUUCAAAGAAGGCUGUGGCGACAGUGAGGUAGACGAUACAGCAUCCUGCUGCAACGGCGGCGCUGUCAAUCUGCAGCUGAUGCCCAAGGAGAACAAUCACCCCAAGGAUUUGACGGCCUGCAGGGUCUGUAAAUCAAGCGAGGCGUGCAUGCUCUUGCUGCCCUGCCGGCAUCUUUGCCUGUGCAAAGAGUGCGAGAGCAAGCUGAGCUUCUGUCCCCUCUGCCAGUCCUCCAAGAUACUUGGCAUGGAGAUAUAUAUGUGA
rnacentral:rRNA from 1 species